UACGUAGGGUGCAAGCGUUAAUCGGAAUUACUGGGCGUAAAGCGUGCGUAGGCGGUUAUGUAAGUCAGAUGUGAAAUGCCCGGGCUUAACCUGGGAACUGCAUUUGUGACUGCAUGGCUAGAGUUUGGCAGAGGGGGGUAGAAUUCCACGUGUAGCAGUGAAAUGCGUAGAUAUGUGGAGGAAUACCGAUGGCGAAGGCAGCCCCCUGGGUCAAGACUGACGCUCAUGCACGAAAGCGUGGGGAGCAAACAGG
rnacentral:rRNA from 1 species